rnacentral:rRNA from 1 species
AACGCUAGCUACAGGCUUAACACAUGCAAGUCGAGGGGCAACAUGGUCUUAGCUUGCUAAGGCCGAUGGCGACCGGCGCACGGGUGAGUAACACGUAUCCAACCUGCCGUCUACUCUUGGACAGCCUUCUGAAAGGAAGAUUAAUACAAGAUGGCAUCAUGAGUCCGCAUGUUCACAUGAUUAAAGGUAUUCCGGUAGACGAUGGGGAUGCGUUCCAUUAGAUAGUAGGCGGGGUAACGGCCCACCUAGUCUUCGAUGGAUAGGGGUUCUGAGAGGAAGGUCCCCCACAUUGGAACUGAGACACGGUCCAAACUCCUACGGGAGGCAGCAGUGAGGAAUAUUGGUCAAUGGGCGAGAGCCUGAACCAGCCAAGUAGCGUGAAGGAUGACUGCCCUAUGGGUUGUAAACUUCUUUUAUAAAGGAAUAAAGUCGGGUAUGGAUACCCGUUUGCAUGUACUUUAUGAAUAAGGAUCGGCUAACUCCGUGCCAGCAGCCGCGGUAAUACGGAGGAUCCGAGCGUUAUCCGGAUUUAUUGGGUUUAAAGGGAGCGUAGAUGGAUGUUUAAGUCAGUUGUGAAAGUUUGCGGCUCAACCGUAAAAUUGCAGUUGAUACUGGAUAUCUUGAGUGCAGUUGAGGCAGGCGGAAUUCGUGGUGUAGCGGUGAAAUGCUUAGAUAUCACGAAGAACUCCGAUUG